rnacentral:tRNA from 1 species
GGAGUGGAAGGGAUCCGGUGGUUCUCUCGGUCUUCAAAACCGUUGUGGGGCUAGCUUCCUAGUCCCAGGUGGGUUCGACUCCCAUGCACUCCC